rnacentral:rRNA from 1 species
UACGUAGGGUGCAAGCGUUGUCCGGAAUUAUUGGGCGUAAAGAGCUCGUAGGUGGCCUGUCGCGUCGGCUGUGAAAACUCGGGGCUCAACUCCGAGCUUGCAGUCGAUACGGGCAGGCUAGAGUUCGGCAGGGGAGACUGGAAUUCCUGGUGUAGCGGUGAAAUGCGCAGAUAUCAGGAGGAACACCGGUGGCGAAGGCGGUGGUCUGGGCCGGCACUGACGCUGAGGAGCGAAAGCGUGGGGAGCGAACAGG